UACAGAGGGUGACAGCGUUGUUCGGAUUUACUGGGCGUAAAGCGUACGCAGACGGCUUGGUAGGUCGGAUGUGAAAGCCCCGGGCUCAACCCGGGAAUUGCAUCCGAAACCACCUCGCUCGAGUGUGGGAGAGGGAUGCGGAAUUCCAGGUGUAGCGGUGAAAUGCGUAGAUAUCUGGAGGAACACCGGUGGCGAAGGCGGCAUCCUGGACCGGUAUUGACGCUGAGGCGCGAAAGCCAGGGGAGGCAAACGGG
rnacentral:rRNA from 1 species